rnacentral:rRNA from 1 species
GGCGGCAGGCCUAACACAUGCAAGUCGAACGAUAAGCCACCUUCGGGUGGUGGACAGUGGCAGACGGGUGAGUAACGCGUGGGAACGUGCCUUUCGGUUCGGGAUAACCCAGGGAAACUUGGGCUAAUACCGGAUACGCCCUUCGGGGGAAAGGUUCAUUGCCGAAAGAUCGGCCCGCGUCGGAUUAGCUAGUUGGUGGGGUAAUGGCCUACCAAGGCGACGAUCCGUAGCUGGUCUGAGAGGAUGACCAGCCACACUGGGACUGAGACACGGCCCAGACUCCUACGGGAGGCAGCAGUGGGGAAUAUUGGACAAUGGGCGAAAGCCUGAUCCAGCCAUGCCGCGUGGGUGAAGAAGGCCCUAGGGUUGUAAACCCCUUUCAGCGGGGAAGAUAAUGACGGUACCCGCAGAAGAAGUCCCGGCUAACUCCGUGCCAGCAGCCGCGGUAAUACGGAGGAGACUAGCGUUGUUCGGAAUUACUGGGCGUAAAGCGCACGUAGGCGGAUUUGUAAGUCAGGGGUGAAAUCCCGGGGCUCAACCCCGGAACUGCCUUUGAUACUGCAAAUCUC